UUAAAUAGAUUUUCCUUUGUGAAUAUUUUCUGUCUUUAAGUAUGUUUGUGCCUUUAUGAGAUUUUAUUAUUGUUUAUCAAUGAAAAAAUGCAUUUUAUUUACACCAGCAGCCAUACAGGAAGGGGAACACAAGAGUUAGUUAGCUAUUUGUAUAGUAUUGGUUACUUAUUAAAAAAUAAAAAUCUCUGAAACAAAGGACAGUGAUUAAUUUCACACUAUCCUCCCCCAAUGUUCCCAGCAUACAGUAAUUCCUAGUAAUGGCCUGAGGUCAUGUGGUGUUGGGAAAUACUUUAUGGAAGAAUAAACCCACAAACCACAGAAUAUUUAAAGAAAAUCUUUCUUCCAUACACACAGAUACAUAAUACGAUUACAGGGAGGUCAAUACAAUUAAUUAAAGAAGAUGUAAAGAAUAUGUUGUUACAAGAAACUGAGGACAAGGAAAGAAUUUCAAACCACUGUCAACUAUACAAUGGUGAACAUUUGUUCCCAAAAAGUAGUUUGUGUGCCAGAACAAUAACAGCUGUACUGGACCCACCUUUUAUCUACACAAAGUGGGGAGCUAUGGUCCUAUUGGAAACAAUGAAGACAGAAAACCAAAACAAUAGCAAAAGGGGAAUUAAUAUAAGCAAUCUGGUAAUGCAAACUACCAAAGACAUCUUUAUGUUCUAACCAGAAAUCGCAGGAAAACUCAUAUCUGAGCGCCCUAUCUAAUGACAAGAGUGAGCAAGCCAUGGCCUUUCUCCCUUUCAUAUUUUUAAGUACUUUACAGAAACAAGAAUCUCAGAUUGCUUUAUCCAUGAUUUAUGAAAGGGUUUUCUAGGCGUAAUGUAUUAAGAAAUCAUUUAAAAGUAUUUUUAGCUCCUGACAAGUUUUUAUUAAAGUCCUCAAACUUCUUGGACUUAGAUCCCAAAGUGUAACUAGGCCAAACCUGAGCUGUAAAACUAUGACAAGGCAACAAUAACAGAUAUUUUCAUGGCCCAAGCACUAUAGCAAUAUACUAUUGAGUACAGAGAUCCAAAUUUAUUCAAACAGAUCAAGAGAGAAGGGAGAAAAAAAGUUAGAAAAGUGAUGAAGAAUCAACACCUCCCUUGUGUAUGCCAGCAUUUAUGGUUCUGCAGUAAGUCCUAAGAGGCAGUAUCCAAGUACCAAGGGGAGGAAAGGACUAAGGACAAGACAGGGAGAUAAACUAGCAUGGCAGGUGUAUGUAAGAGAAAAACUUAGACAUAAAAAUGUCCUGUAAUUUAAAAAAAAAGAUUUUUUUCAUUAUUUUUUCAUUCCAAUCAAAAGAGACAUCCAUGAAUGAUUCUCCUCUAAGGCUUCCAUAAAAGAGGUAAAACAAAAACGAAUAUAAACAUUGAAAGUUUGAAAAUAAAACAAAAGAAAAAGAACUUGUGUACGUUUCAGAGCAGGAGCACUGAAAAAUGAACUAAAUCUGGUCAAGAUGAAACCUAGAGUGAGAAGUAGGAACUAGAAUUAAGAGCUGCAAGAGAUAGGCAGGUGAGGAGUGACAGGAACAUGGCCAGGCCUGAGAGAUAAGACUGGUCCUUUACAAGGGCACAGAAUGAGGUAAGAAAACAUUUCAAAUAAAGCAGCACCUUUCCUUUAUGCUCACCUCAGUAAUCCCAUCCUCUAAUAACCCCCAUUUACAUACUAAAAUAGAAGAGUUGUGGUAUGUAUAUCACUCACUUCCCAUUUACUUUUAACCCUGCCUCCAAAGUCAGGAAGUCCAAACUUUCUAACUUCCAAGAACAAAAAUACAGCCCCAGGUAUAAGGGGGUCCUGAGGGCCAAGUGACAAACUGCAAUAUGUGAGAGUAGAGAAUAUGGAAAUUUCUCAUUCAACAUAGCAGAAGUUUGAUGGCCCAAGCUAAGAAAGGAAAAGGCAACCAUAUCAGGUAAACAAGGUCUGCUUCUCAUAACAUUAAACUCAUUUAUAUUAUUCUUUCCUUUAAAAAAGAAAUACUUUAUUUGGGCUUAUAAUCCAGAAUAUCAGAGUCAGUGAUGGAUGAUAUCAGAGUAAAGAUAAACAGGCAGAGGUUGCUGAAAGAUUACAUCUCAGACCAUAAGCAGAAGGUGGAGAAAACUAGAUUGAAAUAGCUUCAGUCUUUUGAAACCUCAAAGCCUACCCCUAACAACAUACCUCCUGCAACGAGGAAAUACCACUUAGUGAGAUUGCAAUUUUUGGGCAUUUACAUUAUUCUUAACUACACUUAGUCAAAUCACUUCCCAGCUCAAUCUUCAUUUUGAAUGAAGCUGAUUUUCCUGCAAAGUGGCUGUACCAUCUUCUCUUCCUAAUAUUGGCUUUCAUCAUGUGUAUAACAGAUGAUUCUGGAUGCAUAGGGGAUGUUUUUAUUCCUAUGUAUCAUUCCAUUUAUGUACUACAUGUGUACUGACAUUUCAAUGAGUUUCAUUUGGAAAAGGUAUAAAUGGUUGAUCUUAUAUAUACGGUUUCAACCUCUAUUAACAUCUUUUAGAAAAUAUCAAAUAUCCAUUCUUGAUUAAUAAUUUCUUCUCUCAUAAGAUAAAAAAAUAAAAUUUUACUCUAAUCAAAAUAAUUAUCUAUAUUUUCAUACUGAAAAAUGCAGAAGAAUAUUAAGAUAAUGUGGAAUAUUAAAUCAGCUGAAAUGCAUGUUCAUUAAUUAAGAAUAACCAGAAUCAUUGAUAUGUUUUUGGAACAUAAUAUACGAACAAAUACCAAAGCAUUGAAUAAAUAGUGUCAGAAGACGAGAGUCAUUAUAUAAAAUGUACCUUACCUUCAGAUCCAGUGUUUUUGUUCAUGUAGCAAGAAUUCAAUUUACCUACUCUUCCUCAGUAUUUUUCAUCCUCUCAUUGACUCGAAUUUCAAAGCUGUAUCCUAUAACUAGCAUGAUUGUUAAAUUUCAAACCAAGAACAGUGCAUGUGUCAAUAAUUUUCCGCCUUUCCUUAUUUGUGUUUUAUUCUGUUCCCAAAGGCCAUGUUGUGUUGAAGUUAUGAAGAAUUUCUUGCUCCUUUGAUGAAAAUUUUCUGAAAGCAUAGAUUAUUCAUAUUUGUAAAAUACUAUUGAUAUGUUUAAUAGUACUGGAUAUUAUAGUUAAAAUCAUCUGGGUUAGGAAUUUUUGCAUGUAUAUCAUAACACACUAAAAUACUAAAGAUUAAAAGUAGAAGAGAUAGAAUUUAUUACAUGUUUUUACUCUUCUAGGGUUUGUAAGUUUACAAAAUCUGAGCAAAUGAUUUCUUUCUGUGAAAUUCACAUUCAUGAGCUAUUAUAUUCUAAUCAAACAGUGUGUCAGCACCAAUAAACUUGGAUUAAAUUCUAAUUGCAAUACAAAAUGUUUGUAGUAAGUAAAUGGGCAAAUAAUUUGUCUGAAUAUACUAAAUAAGCAUGUAGUAUAAUCAUAGGUUUGCUCUUAAUUAAAUAAGUACUCCCAGAUACACCUUGAAAAAAUACAGAUAGUAAUGUAAGUUUUUUUUUUAUAUAACAGCUAAUAAUGGUCUGAGUAAUGGUUUAAAUCAACAAACCAUGAACAGUAAGUAGGAAUGUCUAGUGAGUUAGAGGUUCUUUCAAGCAUCUUCAAGGGUCUAAAAUAAAUUCCUUUAUAAUUCUCCUAAAUCCACUUAUCAUGAAACAUUCCACAUCAGAGUAAAUAACACCAACAUCUUUUCAUUUUCUCAAAAAAAGUCAUUGGGUUUCUUUUCUUCCUACUCAACCCACCCUCAUUCUACUACCAAACACAACAAUUUCCAUCAUAGCUCUCUGAUAUGACUCUUUUUCAUUAUCAUUGACCCUACUUCCAGAUAGACUUCAAAAACAUCCUUAAAAUCAUUCUCUGUAUCAUAUCAUAAUUCAUAAGUAACCAGAGUCCCUUACUAUAUACAUUGUGAGUUAAACAAACUUAUUUAAAACUAUUCAAUGAUUUCUAAGACAUUUUCAGUAAAUAAAAAUUAUAUGUCUAACAUUGUUUCUAUAUUCCCAUAUGAGUCAUUGCCUGAGAUUCAGCUUUAUUUGGACCGUUCUUCUAUCUCUUAAUCAAUACAAACUACUCUCAUAUUUACUUUUUUGUAUAUGUCAAGGUCUUUGUCCUCUUAUCAUCCUUAUAUUUACUGUAAUUUUGCCCAAAAUAUAGAUCAAUUAUUUUUCAUCUAAUUUAACUUAAAUGUCACUUCCUCAUGACAAUCUCCAUGACCUUAUUUCUAAAAUAGAUUCUUCAACUACUUGCAUACUAUCAACUCCAACACACUGAUUUAUGCAUUCAUUUUUUUUCUUUUUUCUUGUACUAUAAUGCAAUCUUUAUAAAAGAAAGUUCAUAAUACUUUCUAUUCAUUCCUAAUCUAUACACUAUUAUGGACAUGGUACAUUAGUGGAGACUUAUUAUUUAUUACAUGAUUCAGUAAGUUGCAUAAAUAAACUUUAUACUAUUCUUCAUUUUAAUGAAUAUGCAUCCCGUGCAUUGGUUAGACCAUCAUGUAGUAAUUAUGUGAGUUCUUCAAUUCAGUGACCUAGUUGACAUUGCCUAAACAUUUUAAUUUGUCACAGAUAGUCUCUGUCAUAUUCAAAACAAUACUUUGUUCACUGAACAAUUAUCUCAGCUGGGAAUAUAUUUGAUAUGAAAGAAUGAGAUUCCUAAGUUUAAUUCACAGCAUCCAUGUGAAAAUGCCAGCUGCCAUAUGUUUGUGGUCCCAUCUCUGAAGAGACAGAGAGAUGAUGAUUCCUAGGCACUUACUUAUCAGGGAGUCAAAUUUCUUUUGUGAGCUGUUCCAGUGAAAGUUUAAAAACCAAGAGGACCCAGAGCUGUGUUCCCAGAGCUGAACCUGUACCUCAGCUCUCUGUCCCCAGAUCCAAUGAGGAAAUAGAUGGACUUCCAGGAGUGCUGACACACUCAAGAGCACAGGAAAGACUUUUUCUUCUCAGAGGUAACUUCCUGGAGUGCUCAGAACCCACGAAAAGAGGUGCAGUCUGUUACAGCAUACUUUUGUUUCUAUCUAUUCCAUAUAGCUGAAAUUUAUCCACAGUUCUUGGCACACAAGAUAAUUCAAGAGAGAACAACGGUCCCAUUACUGUUGACACACAGGCUAAGAGAGAAUUCAAGCCACUUUCAGAGACAGCAAAACCAGCUAACUCCAGAUGGUGAGGGGCAAGUAUAAUUCCCUAAGGAACAUAAACUGAUGUUACUAGACAUCAUCAGAAACCAGUUCUCCCACCAAAGCUAGCCCAGUCUACCCCUGACACACCAGAAAAGAGAUAGAAAAGUUUGUAGUUCAAAUCACUGAACAUGAUGAGGUUAAAGGAUUUUAAGAAGGACAUAAAUAACUCCAUCAAAGAAAUACAAGACAACAGAUGUAAAGAGAUAGAAGCCCUCAUAGAGGAAACCCAAAAAUCCCUUAACGAAUUACAUUACAACAUAACCAAGCUGCUGGAGGAAUUGAAAAAUCCAUCAGGAAGUAAAAAUGGAAACAGAAAACAACAACAACAACAACAAAAACAACAACAACAACAACAACAACAGCAAACCACACAAAGAUGAAAACUCUGAAUAUAGAAAACCUGGGAAAGAUAUUAGGAGUCAUAAACGCAAGCAUCAACCAACAGAAUAUAAAAUAUAGAAAAGAAUCUCAGGGGCAGAAGAUACCAUAGAAAACAGUAACACAAUUGUCCAAAAAUACAAAAGAAAAAACUCCUAACCCAAAACAUCCAGGAAAUCAUAGACAAAAUGAGAAGAUAAAACCUAAGGAUAAUAGGUAUAGAAGAGAAUGAAACUCCCACUUUGAAGGGUCAGUAAAUAUCUUCUACAAAAUUAUACUAGAAAUCUUCCCUAUCCUAAAGAAAGAGACAACCUUGCACGUACAAAAAGCAAAAAGAAUUCCAAAAAAAUUGGAGCAGAAAAGAAAUUUCUUCCAUCACAUAAUAGUUAAAAUAUAAAGUGCACAAAACAAAGAAAAAAAUGUUAAACGCAGUAAGGGAAAAAGGUCGAGUAACAUAAAAAGGGAGACCAAUCAGUAUUCCACACUUCUUAAAAUAGACUGUGAAAGCUAGCAAUCCUGGGCAUAUAUCACACAGAUCCUAAAUGAAAAAAAAUGUCAGCCCAGGCUACUGUAAAACCUCUCAACUACCAUAGAUGGAGAUUCCAAGAUAUGCCAUGUCAUGAGCAAAUUUACACAAUAUCUUUCCACAAAUCCAGUCCUACAAAAGAUGAUAGAUGGAAAAUUCCAGUACAAGGCAGGAAACUACACCCAGAAAAAGAAAGAACACAAUCUACUUUUAAAAAACACAAAAAAGAGAUAAAGUAGGUAGCCACAGAAACAUAAUUCGACAUUUAACAAGAAAAAUAAUAGACAAAACCAAUCAUUUUCCGAUAUCAUUAAACAUCAAAGGACUCAAAUACCUAUAAAACGACAAACACUAGAAGUCAACUGCCCUGGAAUAAAAACACUUUAUUCUUCCUCUGUCUGCAAUGGAGGGGUCAGAGACUUGGCCAUCUGAUGGACCAAAAUCUAGAAUUGACCUUGUGACUGAGGAGUGUCUCAAACAUUCAGCCUCUGCUGUAGUGUACCUGAAACUGAAUCCUUGUGAACAAGAAUCCAUAGAAGAUCCUCACUUUGUUUGUGGCUGACCAGAACUUGUUCCUCAAACCUUAUUGCAUAGCCAAUACAACUCUGACCACCAAAAAAUCUUCAAGAACAAUGGAUUGAGGUCCCUUGGCCAAUGAAUAAAAAUUCCAGCCUGGAUCCAAGGCCACUUAUCUAAGAUUCUCACCAGAAAGGCCAAUAUCCCUCACACCCAUACCUGUGCGGCUUAUAGUAAGUUUAAAUAGGGUUUAGAUCCAGUGACUUUGACACAAGAUUUCAGAAUAAAUCUCAGAUUGCUGUCAAGUCUGUAGUGGAGGCCUUGGAGAUAAGAAUUUUCUUGAGUUCUCUGAAAAUAUGGAGCCCUGGAGUGCUGGGACCAUAGUCUUCUAUAGAAGGUAAUCAGGAAUAGUCCCUUACUUUCAAACUGGUUUAAGAACUUUCUCCUUUCAAAAACAUUGGUAUUUUUUUCUGCUCAGGAUGAUUAGGCCUUAGAGUUACUCAUUUGACCAAAUGGUCUCUCAGAACCAUCCCUUUUGCUUGGGGCCCAUGGAAUAUUUUACCUCAGACCAUGGAGCAUUGAUCCCUCUGUUGAAGGUUCACUGAAAUCCAAAAGGAGGGAGCAAAUCCUGGAAUCUCAUGCUACUUCCUUGUGUAAGGUCACAUGAUAUGUUGUGAAGUCAUCAGUCUGGUGCUCAUUUCUUUUUGGUUGAAUAUAGUUUUUAGGAGGCAAUCAGGCUUAGGACACCCCCAACUUUUCUUGAAUCAUGGAAUCUAUAUUCAGUCUCUUGCAGAUUCAGCUAAAGAUGUGUAUAUGCUAGACUGUGAAGUACCAUUAGAAGAUGAAGCAAUGUAGGACCUCUUGAGCUAUUGUAAGCAAUUUAAUUUUUUCUCAAAUACUAGGGGAAUUUGAAUACUCAAAACAAUUUCCUGUCACAGGGACAUCAGCAACUCUUCUUUACUUGGGGGUACUCAUCUAUUCUUUCUUUGAUUAAGGAGGUGUCAUAUGUUAUCCCUGAAAGAAAGGUUACUUCAUAUCAUUCUAGUUUGUCCAAAGGAAGUUUAGAUAUUAAUUUAGGGUGAGGAAACCCACACUAUUUCUUGAUAUUAUGGACUGUGCCACAGAUAUGUUUCCUAAUUUUUCCCUGGUUUCUCUGUCAGUUCAAGGUAGACUGGAGGUUCACUUGGGAUGCAAUGAAGAGCCCCUGACAAGCAUAUUCUUCAAAGCCUCCCAUGGUGUAACUGAAGAUACGAUAUGUGAAGUAGCCCUAGCUUGCCUGCUCAAGGAGGGACAUCAGAAUGAUACCUUUUGCUCCAGUUGUUCUCAAAUUCACAUCUUCUGUCCAUGGGGUCUGUAAUGUCACCGUUUCAUAGAAGAACUUCAGUGUCUCUCCUUUUCCCUAUGGGAGCAUCAACACUCCACAUCUACUCACAAGUAUUUCACCUUUUUUCUCUGUAUAGUGGACAAGAGCACUUUCACCAAAGGCCCACAUUGGCCUGAAAUAUCUUAUUUUGCCCAAGGCGUACUCAUGCCUGCACUCUCUUGUGGCCAUCAUUAGCACUUCUUCUCUUGAUUUUGUGAGCCUGCUAUAUCCCAACUCUUUAGGAUUACAUACAAACUUAUUUCUGCUACAUGUAUUCUGAGACAUUCCUCCAUGGAAGAAAGGGGUGUUGAUCUUUUCUUGUCUGACAAAAGUCUUCAAAGCCCAAAGACAACUGCUGGAAUGAAAUGCAACCUAUAGGACUGAUGGAAGAAUUGCUACCUGGACUUUCAAAUGGCAUGAAAAUAUAUGGACAUUCUAAAUACUGAAAAAGAAUAGGAAGCUGAUCAAGCAAUACUGGAUCUUCCUCUGCUCCACGAGAAUUCCCAGUGAUGUCCACGGUGCAAUAACAACUUUUUCCCAUGAAGUCUGGUAUAUUACCUUUUUGAUGACUGACACAACAGUCCUACUUCUGUAGGUGUCCUUUCACAUGCAGAGGAAUGUGUAGAUGGACAUAUAUUUGAAUAAGAUACUGAACCUAAGACUACUGCAUUAGAGCCUCGUACAAGAAUUCUAAGACUGUUGACUGCCUACCAUGGAUAUUCAGAGAUCAAGAAGUGGUCAGAAGAAUUUCAAGUACAAAUUCAGAUGGCUGGAAAGAGCCGAGUCUCUCUAACAGGCAUCUGCAGAUACAUCCCUUUGAAUAAUGAGUCCUUCUCACUAGAGACCAUAGAGAGAACCUGCAUUUCAAUGAUAAUUAAAUGUCAUUUCAAGACAUCAAAUCAAAAUAUCAAAGUGAGAAUGGAAUAAAUUUAUUAGGACAGUGUUUUGCGAACAACUUCUUUCACAAACAGCCUUGGAAGGAGAGUUCUGAAAUUUUGCAUUUUAUAUUUGACUUUGCUCGUACUCUGACACAAUCAACUCAGAGCUGUUUGGGACUUUAUGGGCAAUUAAACACGACAAACAGAGCUGAAUGCAUCAUAUACUCUGCCGUCUGUGUUAAUAUGGCUACAGUGAAGAACAACCAUGCUAAAGCUAUUCAUCUGUUUCUCAAACAACAUCCUCAUACAAGUGUGGACUUCUGUGGGUUGUUGGAUGAAUAGGUUAAAACACAGGCUGAGAGUUGCCAAGGCAGACGUGGGAUGGUACAUGCUUGGGGCAUGAAAGGCCUGUGUGUAGAUCAUAAACAACUUCAUAAUAUUCAUUGCUUUAAUAAUUACUAGGAAGUGGACUUCUGUAAAAUGACUUCAGAAGACCAGCAUGGUAGGCAAACAGUAACUGAUUCCCUGGAGAUUUAAAUGAUCUGGCUUGUGAAACAUGGACUUAGAAGUAGAGACAUGUCAGAACAUGAAGACUGGAAAAUCAAACCUCUGUUGCCUCUUAAGUUUCCCUACCCCAUGGUUUGAGGCAAACAGCAACAGAUUUUUUUGCACUGAGGAAUAGAAUAAAAGCCAAUUUGUUCUAAAUCCCUGUCCUAUGAAAAUACUGAAGUCAUCUGUGACGCACUUCAACU